AACAAUAGAGCACAUUUUUGAUCGAGUCCCUAUUAAUAAAAAUGCGUCCAUUAUUAAUGGGGCUAUACAGGCAGCGGUAUACAAUGGUCAUACUGACGUUGUGCGUUUACUUAUUAAGGCGGGUGUUGAUGUUAAUGAUUUGAACGAUAAUUGUAAAGACUCGGGCCAAUACCCAUCAUCUGCCCUUCACUUUGCUUGUUAUUCCGGGAAUUUUAAAAUAUCGAAGCUGUUAGUAGAGGCAGGCGCUCGUAUUAACAGGACGGACAGAACUGAAGUAACGCCUCUUCAUUUGUGCGUUUGUCCACGCUCAGAUGCAGGAAUUAAAUCAGAGACUGAAGAAAUUCUCCGACUAAAUAAAACGCCCGAAAGGAUACAAGAACGAACAGACUUAGCCUGUUUCCUUGUCAAACAUGGUGCUCAAGUUCUGAUCAAGGACGGGUCGGGCAACAGUCCGCUUGAUGAAUGCAUAGAUGUCAACAUAAAGGCAGCUAUUAUUCGAACGGUCAA